CAGCCGUAAACAAUGUGCGUUAGGUGUGUCGGUAACCACGUGUUACUGAUGCGCCGAAGAGAAAUCGUGAAACGCACCACCUGGGAAGUACGGUCGCAAGGCUGAAACUUAAAGGAAUUGGCGGGGGGAGCACCACAACAGGUGGAGCCUGCGGUUUAAUUGGAUUCAACGCCGGACAUCUCACCGGAUAAGACAGCUGAAUGAUUGUCAAUCUGAAGGUUUUACAUGACUAGCUGAGAGGAGGUGCAUGGC
rnacentral:rRNA from 1 species